GUCGCCGCGGUAAUACGAAGGGUGCAAGCGUUACUCGGAAUUACUGGGCGUAAAGCGUGCGUAGGUGGUGGUUUAAGUCCGUUGUGAAAGCCCUGGGCUCAACCUGGGAAUUGCAGUGGAUACUGGGUCACUAGAGUGUGGUAGAGGAUAGUGGAAUUUCCGGUGUAGCAGUGAAAUGCGUAGAGAUCGGAAGGAACAUCUGUGGCGAAGGCGACUAUCUGGGCCAACACUGACACUGAGGCACGAAAGCGUGGGGAGCAAACAGGAUUAGAUACCCGCGUAGUCCCUGUCUCUUAUACAC
rnacentral:rRNA from 1 species